rnacentral:rRNA from 1 species
GACGAACGCUGGCGGCGUGCCUAAUACAUGCAAGUUGAGCGCUGAAGGUUGGUACUUGUACCAACUGGAUGAGCAGCGAACGGGUGAGUAACGCGUGGGGAAUCUGCCUUUGAGCGGGGGACAACAUUUGGAAACGAAUGCUAAUACCGCAUAAAAACUUUAAACACAAGUUUUAAGUUUGAAAGAUGCAAUUGCAUCACUCAAAGAUGAUCCCGCGUUGUAUUAGCUAGUUGGUGAGGUAAAGGCUCACCAAGGCGAUGAUACAUAGCCGACCUGAGAGGGUGAUCGGCCACAGUGGGACUGAGACACGGCCCAAACUCCUACGGGAGGCAGCAGUAGGGAAUCUUCGGCAAUGGACGAAAGUCUGACCGAGCAACGCCGCGUGAGUGAAGAAGGUUUUCGGAUCGUAAAACUCUGUUGGUAGAGAAGAACGUUGGUGAGAGUGGAAAGCUCAUCAAGUGACGGUAACUUCCCAGAAAGGGACGGCUAACUACGUG